UACAGAGGGGGCAAGCGUUGUUCGGAAUUACUGGGCGUAAAGGGCGCGUAGGCGGCCUGUUAAGUCGAACGUGAAAUCCCCGGGCUCAACCCGGGAACUGCGUCCGAAACUGGCAGGCUCGAAUUCGGGAGAGGGAUGCGGAAUUCCAGGUGUAGCGGUGAAAUGCGUAGAUAUCUGGAGGAACACCGGUGGCGAAGGCGGCAUCCUGGACCGGCAUUGACGCUGAGGCGCGAAAGCUAGGGGAGCAAACGGG
rnacentral:rRNA from 1 species